UAGCAUAGUAGAUCUCUUAACCGAGCAUAAAAAGAAAACCGGUUUAGGAGAACUACUGUGCUUA
rnacentral:pre_miRNA from 1 species